CCUACGGGCGGCAGCAGUAGGGAAUAUUGCUCAAUGGGGGAAACCCUGAAGCAGCAACGCCGCGUGGGGGAUGAAGGUUUUCGGAUUGUUAACUCCUUUUGUUAGAGAAGAUAAUGACGGUAUCUAACGAAUAAGCACCUGCUAACUCCGUGCCAGCAGCCGCGGUAAUACGGAGGGUGCAAGCGUUACUCGGAAUCACUGGCCGUAAAGAGCGCGUAGGCGGGAUAGCAAGUCAGAUGUGAAAUCCUAUGGCUUAACCAUAGACCUGCAUUUGAAACUGUUAUUCUAGAGUAUGGGAGAGGUAGGUGGAAUUCUUGGUGUAGGGGUAAAAUCCGUAGAGAUCAAGAGGAAUACUCAUUGCGAAGGCGACCUGCUAGAACAUAACUGACGCUGAGGCGCGAAAGCGUGGGGAGCAAACAGGAUUAGAUACCCCUGUAGUC
rnacentral:rRNA from 1 species